GGUGAUGGUUGUUUACAGCUGCCUAUUGAUAUCUGAGUGAGAUUGAUUGAUGGAGGGUCGCAUUUUCCUUUUUCUAUUUCUUUGGAUUCUCUAAUAACAGAGAGCCAUUAUCUGGUACUAAGUUUUGAAUUAAUCAUCUUGGAAGAAGGAUUAGCGUUGUCUUUUUUUCCUUCUUUUCUGGUACUAUUUUGAUUUUGAAUGGUGGUAGAAGGCCAUUGUCUGAUGGUGGUUUAAAUUUUUGUGGAUAGAUUUUGGAUACUCUCAAAUGGAAUCUUUUUCCUCUAUUCCUCUACGUAUCCAGAAUAGGUAAAGAAAAGAUGAGCGAAAGAAAUGGAGGAUGAACUUAUGAAAUGCAGAAAAUAUAUAUAUUUUAUCACUUAUGUAAUGAAUUUGAAUAAGGUAUAGUUAUUCCAAAAAUAUUUUGCACUUUAUUUUGAAUUUGAUUGGGGUAACUUUUUGGGUUUAAAAGGAUGUCCCAAUUUCUUUCCUUUUCUGGUAAGAUAUUAGAUUGGAUUGCAAAAUCAGUUAUAACCCAUAUUCUAUCAUCUAACCAACAUCUAUAAUUUUGAGAUAAUCUUGCAGCUUCUCAAUAAACAUCAAUAUAAUUAACUAAGAUAUAGUCUUCUAUAUCAAAUUUCUCUGUAGGUUUAUCUUUUGAGAUGUCAUUUUUAUCUAAAAAUUGAGUGUGCAUGAGAUAAUAAAUUAGAAAAGGAUAAAUGAUUUCAGUUAAUUUUUUUUCUUCAAUUCUACGAUAGAUUAGCAUAUCUAUUUUUUCUUUAUCAUCUCUGAGUUCUUUUAAGAUGGUAGAAACAAAUUUUGAAAACAUGUUUAAAGGGUAGUUGUAGUCCACGGAGGUUAGUUUAACUAAUCCUUUAUAUAAAUAUCUAAUCAUAAUACUAAAAGGUUUCAUAUUUAUAUUUGGAAUACUCAACUUUGGCCGGUACUAAUCUAUCGUAAGAUUUUCACUAAGAUUUUCAAGUAUUUUUCUGAUUUCAUCUGGUUGAAGAAUUUUCUUAAGAAUAAGAUAUUGAAUUUUAGAAGGUAAUAUUCUUUGUACUUUGUUCCAAGUUUUUAAUCUUUGUUGCCUAACAGAAUGACAAGUCAUUUGUUUUGAACUACUAUCAUCUAUAGUUUUUAGUCCAAAAUUAGAUGAGGUUGGAAUUUGAAAGUCAUCAGUGUGCUGAGCAACUUCUAUCUCUUUAAAAAAUUUGGAGGUCUUUCUUUUUUGUAUAAUUUUUCUUUUCUCAUUCAUAUUUAGAGAUGGUUUGAUUUUAGAAGGAUUAUGAAAGUUAUUUUUUUUUUUCUUUUGAACUUCCAAGAAGGUCUUAACAGAGGUUUAACUGAAAGCCUAGAUUUGAUGCCUUUUGAAUAAUUUUUUUUUGGUGUGGAAUUUUGUUUACAUUCUAUUGCCAAAGUACUUGGAUUUUGAGGACAUGGGAGUAUGGGUAUCUUAUAACUAAUUUUCUUUUGAAGGAUAUUAAAGGGAUUUAGGAUAAACAAAAGACUUUUAUACCUUACACGCCAAAGAUCUUUAUGUUUUAGAGCUAAGCAUUCUCUUUUAAAUUUUUUUCAAAGAUCUAGUUAAUUGUUGAGGUUUCCACAAGAAUCUAUUUAAGGAUUGGAUUCUGACUUCAAGCUUAACUUUUUCUUUUACUAAGAUAUUUUGGUUGGAAUCAUAAUUAAGAAUUUUCUUAUUACUUUCUUUAAGUGAAAGGAGCUUUAAAAGUUUGUUAGAUUCUUUUAUUUUAUCAUAGAUAUUAGAACAAGGAGGUGCUUUAGUAUGGAAAAUAAGUGGAUUUUGAGAUACAAUAAAUUUUUGAAGUUCUAACUUAGAAGUUCUAAGAUUCAAAGGUAGUUUUAUUAAGAUUUCUAAAUUUUUUGAUAUUUUUCAUGGUAAGUAUGGCCAAAAUUUUUGUGGGUUUUUAUUAUAGACUUUAGCUGGGUCUAAUUCUAGAUUUUGGCUUAUAGGUCUUGAUUCAGAAAGAACUUGGAUAUUUUCAAUUUUUUGAAAGUUAUUUCCUAGUAAAGAUCCUGAAUGAGCUAGGGUGUUAACAUCUGUAAGGUUACCAGAAGGAUUAUUGCCCAGCACCAAGUCUGAAAUUUCUUUUUGGAUAGGAUUGGUUUCUUUCAAAAAGUUGACUCUUUCUGGAUGAUCUUUUUCAUUUUUAGGCUCAAGGAUUUUGGGUUCUUCAGGUGUUCCUACUUGUAGAUUUUUAGGAUGGAUUGUAAUUUCAUAUUCCUUUUUCUGACUUUCAUUUUUUGAGUUUUCAUCUUCUAAAGAUUGUUGGAUUUGAGGUACUUCUAGGAUUUUAGAAUGAAAUGUUUUUAUUUUUUUAGAAUCUUGGUAAGUUAUAUCAUUUAUUUUAGAAGAGGAAUUCUUAGGUUGAGAUUUUUCAUCUUUAUUAUUAUUCUGAAGGCUUGAACAAAGGUAUUUAAUAACUCUUUUGCCUUUCUCUAGAUAGAUUGUUAUUUUCUUAUUUGGACAUUUACAAUCAUUAUCCUUUUUUAUGAUUUCAGAAUUAUGUUUGUUUUGAGCAAUUAAUCCUAAAUUUGGCAAAUUUGUUUCAACUUUAGAAAUUGGUUUAUUACUAGCUUUAGGUUUUGUCCUAGAUUCUCCUAAAUCAUAUCUUUCAAACUAAUCAAAGAAUUUAAUAGAAGCCUUGUAUGAUUUUAUGAAGGUAAAGUAUCUAGAUUGGAUUUCUAUAGUUUGAGUUAUAUUGUAAGUUCUAAGAAACUAUUGUCUCUUAUGUUCAUUAUGCUUAGCAAAAAAAUCUUCAUUAAAUAAUUCUUUGCAUUGAGAAUCAUCUCUACUAGAGUGGAAAAAGGAUUUGCUUUGGGAAUUUGGCUUUAGGUUUAAUGGAUUGGGUUUAAUUUUGAAGAUUGGCAUAGGGCUUAUCUUAGAUUCAAGAUAUGAGAAUGACAUAUAUUGAGAAUAAUAAUCUUGGCUUUCAUUCUCAUUAUCAGAUUCAGAAUAAAGAGAUUGGGUGUCAUUUUGAUCAUCAUCUCGAUAGUCUAAAAUAUUUUCUAGAUACAAAUCAAAAUAUGAAUUCAUCUUUUAUAGAGAGAUAUGUUAGUUUAUUUAUUAUCUUUAUAAGAAAUUAUUAUCUAAAGAAAGGUUAGAUACCUAGCUACCUUAGUAAUCUAGAUAUGAAAGAAUGAAAGAAUAAAGAAUGUACUUAAGAAUUUUCUAAGUAAAAGAAUAAAAGAAUGAGUUUCUAGUUACUUACGCAACUACAAAGAAUGGAAAGAAUAUACAAGGUUCCUAGUUGUUUACACAGCUAAGGACAAAUAAUAAAAAAAUAUUAUAUAAAAAAAAUACUUAUAUGUUAGAUUUUACAAGAUGUUAGACUCUUGUUAGUAUGGAAAAAUUCCUAAAAGACUCAAGUAUAAAAGAAUGCCUAAAAAAGUAAAGAAUUAGUAAAAGACUCAAAAGAAUACUCAAAAAACUCUUUACUAGAUCCUUACUACCACUUCGUGAUAACAAUUUCAAGGAUAGAAAGAGUUAGUAAAGGAAGAUCAAGAAAAGACACUUAUCUUAGGAGACUUAACAGUAUGAUUUUAGUAAGCAGUCAAGAAAAGAUACCUAUCUUAGAAGACUUAACAGGAUCUGAAACUUCAGGCUUAAGACGGAUACCCAACUUAGGUGCCCAAAGUUAUCUUCUCUACGAUCUUUACUGCCUGCGUCUGUAGCAGCUCUCCCUAGCCUUUGUUGACAACGACAUAUUCUGAAGCAAUCCUACACUCGAAGGUACAUCCGACUCUCCAUCAUCAAACUAUCCGUCAGUUAUACAACCCUUAUGCUCCUCGGACCAAGCCUAGGUAAUCUUGAUUAAUACCCCUAUUGCUCAUCAAUCCCUGUUCUUAUCAAAAUAUCUAGCUUCUCUCUCUCUAGACCAAGCCUAGAUUUUCUGAUACUGCUCCUCAGACCAAGCCUAAGUAAUCUUGUUUGAUGCCCCUAUUGCUCAUCAAACCUCGAUCUUUCUAAACUACUUCUCUCCCUCCAGGCUCUGUUAUCAACCUACGAUAGAGAAAAGGAUCUGACUCUAAUAAAAAAUUAAAAACUUAUGACUCAUUCUACAUCUCCAGAAAGGGUUAGUGGUCCCCAGACUCAUACUUAAUCAGAGUCCUAUGGCUUGACUCCUAAGCUAGGAUUUAUAAGAUGAAAUCUAAGAAUAGAAUCUUGCUCACAAAGUGAGGCCUGCCAAGACACUAUUAAUAGAUUACAGGUUAAACCUUCUAAGGAUGCUCAGACACCUAACUCUAACCCUAAGAUUUAUGUGCUGGAACCUAUACAUAAUAUCUUGCUUACUUUAAGAUAAUAGAGAGUAAGGCCAGUCAAGAUACCACUAACAGAUUAUACACUAACUAUGAACUAUAAACUAAUACCAUCAAAGACUAUAGCUCAGGUAUGUGAACCUUCACAACCAAAAGUCUCCUAUGAUAUAGAUAUAGUACACAGUUCAGCAGAAUCAGACUUUCUAAACCUAGACUCUAAGACUCUCUAAGACUAGACCAAACUCUAGAUACUAUACGACUCCUAAUACACAACCUAGACUCUAAGACUCACUAACACUCUAAGACCCUCUAAGACUCAUUAAGGGUUAGUGGAUCCUAAACACUAUAGACACUCUACAGGAUAGACACACAGGGUAGACACAGGACUAUGGGUCUCCUAGGGGUGAACCUAAGGAUGAACCUAAAGGUGGACUCUAAACUCAGACACAAUAGGUGGAUGGUGAAAUCUAAGACUAGUUUCUAAAGUCAGACACUAUGGAUGACACCUAUGGGUUGGAGACUGGUCAGACAAUACUAAGGUUGGACACCUAAGGCUGGACACAAGUUGGACUCUAGGGUUGGUCGGUACCUAAGGUUGGACACGGAGUGGACAUUACUAUGGAUGGAUACUAUGGGUGGACAUACUAUGGGGUGAACAGGGUGAACACUCUAUAGGUUGUCCUUAAGGUUGCUUAUAGGUUAAAGAACCUAAGGAUUUUCUAAAGAUGAUGCUAUGGGUUACCUAAGGGUGACACUAAGGCUUUUUAAAGUUAGCUAGGUAACUUACUAGUUAAGUUACCUAUAGAUUAGUUAUUUUUUUAAUUUUUAAUUUUUAAUUUUUUAUAUACUUUUAGUGGGUUUUUACUUUUUAUAUGAUUUUUAUUUUUUUUUAUUUUUGUGUCAUUUUUAGUUUUUUAAUUUUUUAUAUGUUUUUGAAUAUGCGAGUUACCUACUUACUUCAUGCAAGUUACCUAUUUACUAUAACUUUUUAUAUUUUUAUAAUUUUUAUUUUUUAUUAUUUUUUUUAAAAUAGUAUGCAAAUAGUAGUGUAAUAGUUUUUUUUACAACAGUGGUUUUGAAAUCAUGCAUGCAGGUGGAAGAUGAAAAUGUGUAAGGAUAUGAAAAGUAUGAAUCCAAAUAGUACUUCGACGAUGCAAAUAAUAUUUUACGAAAUAAUAAUUUUAUAAAUAGUAAUGAAUAGUAAUAAAUAAAAUUUAUGAAUGCAGGAUGCAUGCGGCGAUGAAGAAGAUGAAAAGUAAGUAGUAUUUAAAACAAUAUUUAACCAAAGUAACAUAAAGAAACAAACAAAGAAAUGAAGAAAUGAAGUAACUAAAACUUCAUUAAGACAAACUCAUGCAUGAAUAUGUACAGAUGAAGAAUAUACGAACAUGAAAAACUUACAGGGUGAAGAAAUACAGAGACAGUAUACACAGAAGGUGGAGAUAGCUUGCAAAAGCUUGCUUCUCUCUGACACGGACUCUUAAACAAACUUCACACUUAUGUACAGAACUCAAUAGUACACACAAAGAUAGAACCAUACAAGAACUCAAGGGAAGGAUAUAUACAAGGGUACAAGACAUGAGGAAGAAGAAAAACUAUUUAGUGGAAUACUCCCUCUCUGGUUUAUAACUUCUAUCUGUCAUAUGAUCUUCAAUAAGCUCUCCAAAAAAGUCACGGGCUUCAGGAUUUCUCUUGAAACUCUACCAAGACUUAUGUCAAGACUUGCCAUGGCUUGUUCCUCUAUGCUGGCAUUGAGGAUUUUUUUAUAAAAGCUAGGGGUGAGUAUCUUACUUGGGCUUGAAGUAGCUUAGCACUGAAGCAACUUGGUGUUGAAGUAAAGUCAUCUUGCUUGCUGGCGAAUCUAUUUUAUGCUAAAGUAACUUUCUGGCUAAGUAGUUAAAAAGUAGCUAAUUUUCUUGGUGGUGAAGCAACUUUGUCGGUGUAGUGGCCUAUUGAUGAAGUAACUUAUCGGUGAAGCAUCUGUAUCUUUGAUGAGAUGGUAACUCGAUUGGUAAAGCACUUGUUUUUGGUGAUGAGGUGGCAACUCCUGUCGGUUAAGCAUCUGACUAGUGACUUUGCUAAUGAUUUGUCAUCUUAUCGGUGGAAUACUUUGCCGAUGGAACAUCUGAUCGGUGAAGCAACAAGCUUUUGCUGAAGAAGUACCUUUUGUUGGAGGAGGUCAUCUUUGAGGAAGCAUUUCUCUUGAUGAGCUGGUAGCUUUUAAUGGUGAAAUAUUUUGAAUGGAACAUCUGUUGGUCUGGAAGGAGAUUUUGAAUAAAGUGGUUUCACUUUUAUAGCAGCUGAAGAUUGGUCAGUAGAUGAGUCUUUUGGAAUGCCUUGUAAAUAUUUUUAUUAUUUUGGAAGGAUUAGCGCAGUCUUUUUUCCUUUUCUCUUCUUUGUUCUUUUAAUUAGAAGGAUUAGCAUAGUCUUUUUUUCCUUCUUCUUCUUCUUCUAAUUCUAAGAGUAAUUCUCGGAGAAGAUUUUUGUAUUUUAUUUUUGACUUUGUAGCAGCAAGAUUUGUAUUAAUACCUGGUGGUUGCUGGAAGAUUUUUGGAGCCUCAAGAGUAAGAGGUACUUGCGAAUAAUUUUGGGAUAUCCAUUGAAUAAUUUUUGGUUUAGUGGCAUGCUCAUAGUUGGAUUGAGCCCACCACCUUGUUUUGAAUAGUCUCCCAAGUGAUAAAGGAUAAAUAGGAGAAUCAAUGAAAGUACACUUCCAUACACUAAUCCAUAAGAAUGCAAAUCGAGAAUAAAAUUCGAGGAUUGGAAAGUUUAGGUUUCUGUGUGGGAGAAUGGCUUUUUCCUGAAAAAGGCUGAAGCUAUCAAGAACUGAUGAGGGCAGAAUUUGAGAAGUUGGACCAAAAUAAUCUCACCAUGUUUUGAACCAAUAUAGGAAUUGACAUCUUGUUUCAGGUUUAAAAUAGAACAACCAGGAAUGGGUAUGUUGUGGGUUUAGGUAAAAGAAGGCAUUGGACCAUGCUGCAAUAUAAUCCAAAUAAUUAAAAUAUUGGGGGUCAUAAUUUUGUGAGAAUCUUUUGAAGUCACAGAGAUUAUUUUUCCAUGCAACAGGUGUUAAAAUAGAAAGGAUUUAUACUGUUGAAUGUGUAUAAGCAUCUAUAUUUUAAAAUUUGUAGUGCUUAACAGCUAUAAAUUUUGUUUCUAUCAAAAUAUCUUCAUAGAAUUUUUUAGAUUUUUUAAUAUCACUAGGUGGAAAUUACCAAUUUAAAGGAAGGAUUUUUUUUGCCAUCAAUCUAGGUUCCUUUUCUAACUAUUCAUCUUCAAUCAUUAUUAUGAACUGAAGAAGGUUUUUAUUAAAAUAUAGGUAGGUGACUAUUUGAAGAGGUUGGGAGUUUGGCACAGGGUCGAAAAUCCCAAUUACCAUUUUAAGUUUUGAAGAUAUUUGCUGUAAAUUUUGAGAGAUAUAUAUUGUUCUAGUAAAUCAAUAUAUUAGUUGCCUUAUAUUCUGGAUCCUGAUUACUAGUAGAGGCUAGGUUUACCUUCAUUUUUUGAAAAAGAUUUAUAGGUAUUAAUUCUUCAUGAAUAAAAUUUGAAUUUAUCUUUUGAUCAAUCAAAGCUAGAGUGUCUAUUCUGAAAUUGUUUACCAACAAGGUAAUUUCUAUUUUAGAGAAGAUUUCAUCUAAAAGAAUUUCUUUUCCUUUGUCUAUUAACUUUUUAGGCCUUCUUAUGGGUGAAAGGGUUUUGUUUUUUGAUAUUCUAGGAAGUCUUUCUAAUUUUUUGAUAGGUUUUUCAUCCUCAGGUCUAUUCCCUAAUGGUUGGAUAUGGUUUCGUAAUAUUAUCUUAAGAUUUCCAAGGUUCAUGAGGGGUAAGAUUUUUAAUGGAUUUUUCAGAUAUUUUGGUAUUUUUCAUAUUUUUGGCCAGUGCUUUUGUAAUUUUGUAGAGGGAAGACUAUUGUUAUUUUUUGUUAGGUUUGGGCAGAAGUAUUUUAUAAUUCUGUCUUUACUUCUUAAGAUGUUAUGUUUAUCAUCUUUUCUUAAUUCAACUAUCUCUGGCUGAUCAUACCUUUCAGGCCAAACAAAGAAUCGAAUAUGACUUUUGAUUGAGUUCAUAAAGGUAUAGUAGCGAAGUAAAAUAUCUUCUAUUUAAGUUCUACUAUAGAAAUUGAAAAAUUGUUAUCUUUUUAUUUUAUUACAAUCAGAGUAAAAAUCUUGCCUAAGCAGGUUUUCAUCUAUAAUGAACUAAGUGUUAAUUUGAGAGUUUGAUUUAAGGUCUAAGAUUGGGCCAUCUUGGGGAAAGUAAUCCCAACUUUCGCUAUCAUCAUCUGAUUCAAAGUGAAGAGGUUAAAUUUCUUUUGAAUUUUAGUUCAUCUUGUAAGAACUAGAGGAAGGAUCUGGACAUUGUUCUUUUGUUAUCAUAUAGAUUUCUUUAUUAUCUUCUUCUUGAAUUUCAUAUUCUAAUGGUUUUAAAGUUUUAAUGUUUUUAGGAGUGUGAAGUAUGUUUUCAGGAUUAGAUUCUUCUGAAGAGUGGAUUUCUUCAAGAGGAUUCUUCUCCUGAAUUAAAUUUUCUUUUUGUGGACACGGACAAAGAUAUUUUACUACUCUGCCAAUACCUUGUUCCCAGUAUAUUUCUAUUUUCUUAUUUGGGCAAUUACACUUAUCCUUAUUAAUGAAAGUGGUUAAAGGUUUAUUGUAGGAGCUUGAGCUACUAGAGUUUCUUCCAGGUUGACCUAUAUAUCUAUCUGUUAUGAGUUUCAAUAGGUUAUAUCUAUUCAUAGUUAAAGGGUUGGAUACCUAGCGACCUUAGUAGUCUAAAUAUGAAAGAAUGAAAGAAUAAAGAAUGUACUAAGGAAUUUCCUAAGUAAAAGAAUAAAAGAAUGAGUCUCUAGUUGCUUACGCAACUACAAAGAAUGGAAAGAAUAUUUAAGAUUCUUAGUUGUUUACACAGCUAGGGACAAAGAAGAAAACACUUAUAUGUUAGAUUCUACAAGAUGUUAGACUCUUGUUAGUAUGAAAAAAAACCUAAAAGACUCCAGUAUAAAAGAACACUUAAAAAAGAAAGAAUUAGUAAAAGACUCAAAAGAAUACUCAAAAGACUCUUUACUAGAUCCUUGCUACCACUUCGUGAUAACAAUUCCAAGGGUGGAAAGAGUUAGUAAAGGAAGAUCAAGAAAAGAUCCUUAUCUUAGGAGACUUAACAGUAUGGUUUCAGUAAGCAGUCGAGAAAAGAUACCUAUCUUAGGAGACUUAACACAAGAGGAUCUGAAACUUCAAGCUUGAGACGGAUACCCAACUUAGGUGCCAAAAGUAGUCUUCUCUGCGAUCUUUACUGCCUGCAUUUGUAGCAGCUCUCCCUGACCUUCGUCAACAACAGUAUUCUCUGAAGCAAUCCUACACCUGAAGGUACAUCCAAAUCUUCGUCAUCAAACCAUCCAUCAGUUAUACAACCCUUAUGCUCCUCAGACCAAGCCUAGAUAAUCUUGAUUGAUGCCCCUAUUGCUUAUCAAUUCUUAUUCUUUCCAAAAUACCAAGCUUCUCUCUCUCUAGAUCAAGCUCAGGUUUUCUGAUACUGCUCCUCAGACCAAACCUAAGUAAUCUUGUUUGAUGCCCCUACUACUCAUCAAACCUCGAUCUUUCUAAACUACUUCUCCCUCCUCGGGCUCUGUUAUCAACCUACGGUAAGAAAAAAGAUCUAACUCCAAUAAAAAAUUUAAAACUUAUUACUCAUACUACAUUUUCCUCUCUGAGCUUUGAAUGAACCGUUAGAGAAAAAGGAUCUCCCUCUCCGGGCUCUGUUACCAACAAGACCCGAUGGUACCAACUCGUAGACAUGUAAGUAUCAAAGCAUAGGCUCUGAUACUAACAAGACCUGACGAGUAUCAAGGCCUACAUGAUAUGAGCUCUGAUAUCGUGGGCACCCAUAGAUCGACUCUGAGGGAGCUUCUCGAUUAAAAAAAAAAAUCAUAGUAUUUCUAACCAAUAGGAUUUAUAUGAUAAGAUCUAUGAGCAGGAUCUUGCUCACUCAGAGAGUGAGGCCCGCCAAGACACUACUAACAUACCACAAAUCAGAGUCCUCCUAUGGCUUGACUCCUAACCUAAGAUUUAUAAGAUAAAAUCUAAGAGUAGAAUCUUGCUUACAGAGUGAGGCCCGCCAAUACACUACUAAUAAACUACAGGUUAAACUUUCCUAAAGUACUCAGACACCUAACUCUAAUCCUAAGAUUUAUGUGCUGGAACCUAUAAGUAAUAUCUUGCUUACUCUAAGAUAACAGAGAGUAAGGCCCGUUAAGAUUUCACUAAUAGAUUAUAGACUAACUAUGAACUAUAAACUAAUACCAUCAAAGACUAUAGCUCGGGUAUGUGAACCUUCACAGCCAGAAGUCUCCUAUGAUACAGAUAUAGUACACAGUUCAGUAGAACUAGACUUUCUAAACCUAGGCUCUAAGACUCUCUAAGACUAAAUCGGACUCUAGACACUAUACGACUCUCCUAACAUACAACCUAGACUCCAAGACUCACUAAGGGUUAGUGAACUCACUAAGGAUUAGUGAAUCCUAAACACUCUAGACACUCUACAAGGUGGACACUCUAGACACUUCUAAUGGUUAGGAUGGACACUCUACAGGGUGGACUAUGGAUACAUUACUGGAUAGACACAGGACUGUAGAUCUCCUAAAGGGUGGACUAGUGGAACCAAGGGUUGGUCUCUAGACUCAGACACUAUGGGUGAUACCUAUGGGUUGGACACUAGUUGGACAACACUAAUGUAUGGACAUUGGUUGGACAACACUAAGGUUGGACAUUAAGGGUGGACACCUAAGGUUGGACACAAGUUGGACUCUAGGGUUGGUUGAUACCUAAGGUUGGACACAGAGUGGACACUAUUAUGAAUGGACACUAUGGGUGGACUUACUAUGGGGUGAACAGGAUGAACACUCUACAGGUUAUCCUUAAGGUUGCUUAUAAGUUAAGAAACCUAAUGAUUUUCUAAAGAUGACGCUAUGGGUUACCAGAGGGUGACAUUAAGGCUUCCUAAGGUUAGCUAGGUGACUUACUAGUUAAGUUACCUACAGGUUAGUUAUUUUUUUAAUUUUUAAUUUUUUAUUUUUUAUAUACUUUUAGUGGGUUUUUACUUUUUAUAUGGUUUUUAAUUUUUUAUUUUUUUAUAUGGUUUUUAGUUUUUUAAUUUUUUAUAUAUUUUUGAAUAUGCGAGUUACCUACUUACUUCAUGCAAGUUACCAAUUUAUUAUAAUUUUUUAUAUUUUUAUAAUUUUUAUUUUUUAUUAUUUUUUUGAAAUAGUAUGCAAAUAGUAUUUUAUGAAAUAGUAAUUUCAUAAAUAGUAAUGAAUAGUAUUUAUGAAUGCAGGAUGCAUACAACGAUGAAGAAGAUGAAAAGUAAGCAGUAUUUAAAAUAAUAUUUAAAUAAAGUAACACAAAGAAAUAAAUAAAGAAAUGAAGUAAUUAAGACUUCAUUAAAACAAACUCAUGCAUGGAUAUGUACAAAUGAAGAACACACAAACAUGAAGAACUUACAGGGUGAAGAAAUGCAACGAUAAUAUAUACAGAAGGUGGAGAUAGUUUGCAGAAGCUUACUUCUCUCUGACACAGACUCUUGAACAAACUUCACACUUAUGUACAGGACUCAAGAACACACACAAAGAUGGGACUGUAUAAGGACUCAAGGGAAGGAUAUAUACAAGGAUACAAAAUAGGAGGAAGAAGAGAAACUAUUUAGUGAAAUACUCCCUCUCUGACUUGUGACUUCUACCUGGCAUAUGAUCUCAAUAAGCUCUCCAGGGAAGCCACUGGCUUCAGGAUUGCUCGUGAAGCUCUACCAAGACUUAUGUCAAGGCUUGCCCAAGCUUAUUCUCUGAUACUGGUAUGGGGGGUCUUCUUAUAGAAGCUAAAGGUGAACAUCUUGCUUGGUGGUGAAGCAACUUGAAGCUAAAGUAACUUAGUGGCUAAUCAACUUUAUCGAUGAAGAGGCCUACUGAUAAAGUAACUUUAUCGGUGUUGAAGUAACUUGUUGAUAAAGCAUCUUUUCCUGAUGAUGUGACAACUUUGUUGGUAGUGAGAUGACUUAUCGAUGAAGAAAUAACUUUCUUGGAAAAGCAUCUGGCUAGUUAUCUUAUCGGUGCAGUAUUUUAUCGGUGGAGCAUUUGUCUAUUGCUGAAGUGACUUGACGAAGAAUCAACUUUUGCUAGUGGAGUGGCAAUUAACUUUGUUGGUCGAGUGGCCUAAAGGUAACUUGUUGGUGAAGUACCUUUGCUGAUGAGGUGGCAAUUUUUGAUGGUGAAAUAUUCUGGAUGGAACAUCUGUUGGGAAGGAAUUUUUGCUGCUGGCUAAUGAAGAGACAAUUCUGGGGCAUCUACUAUUAUUUGCUUGGAGAAGGAUUGGCGUAGUUUUUUUUUCCUUCUUUUGUUUGGAAGAAGGAUUUAGCAUAGUCUUUUUUC
rnacentral:lncRNA from 1 species